GACACUAUGGCCGAGUGGUUAAGGCGAGAGAUUUGAACUGCUCAUUAUCUCUUGGGCUAUGCCCGCACAGGUUCGAACCCUGUUGGUGUCG